rnacentral:rRNA from 1 species
CAGCUCUUGACAUUCGGGGUAUGGGCAUUGGAGACGAUGUCCUUCAGUUAGGCUGGCCCCAGAACAGGUGCUGCAUGGCUGUCGUCAGCUCGUGUCGUGAGAUGUUGGGUUAAGUCCCGCAACGAGCGCAACCCUCGCCCUUAGUUGCCAGCAUUUAGUUGGGCACUCUAAGGGGACUGCCGGCGAUAAGUCGAGAGGAAGGUGGGGAUGACGUCAAGUCCUCAUAGCCCUUACGGGCUGGGCUACACACGUGCUACAAUGGUGGUGACAGUGGGCAGCGAGACCGCGAGGUCGAGCUAAUCUCCAAAAGCCAUCUCAGUUCGGAUUGCACUCUGCAACUCGAGUGCAUGAAGUUGGAAUCGCUAGUAAUCGCGGAUCAGCAUGCCGCGGUGAAUACGUUCCC